rnacentral:lncRNA from 1 species
AGUACAAGUACAUCUUCAAUGAGUACAGAAAUAUGUAGUGCUGUAGUACAACAGAAAAGGAUGCUGAGUCUCACUGAAAGACUGCAUGGAACAGAACAUCUCUUUGCUGUUCCUUUGGCUUCCACAGGGCGACACUGGACUUCCUGGGCCACCAGGGUCACCACUGUUAGUUGGACCUCCUGGAGCCCAGCUGUUCAAAGGAGAAAAGGGCCAAAAAGGACUACCUGGGGUAACAGGAUACAGAGGGCCACGUGGACCCAAAGUAAGUAAUGUGAUUAUUAGGUUUUUUUUUUCAUGGUGCUGGCAAAGUACUUCUGUGUUUAUUAAGUUAAUCUUUUAAAGCACAAGGUGAUGGAAGAAAUAAUGGCAUUUGUGCUGUGAAAUUUAAUCACCACCUAAAUCAGUGUGAAAGCAAAAAUAUUUAAAAACUCUUUGGAAAACCUUUCUGUUUUAUAUGUACCUGUUAAAUGUUGCCUGGUAGCAAAAAGUCAGUGUUGUUUCUAGUUGGGCUGUUGACAUAACAGACUGGGACUGCGAAGAAAAUAGAAGCACGGAUUAUUUUUUCUCAGGAAGAGAAAUAGAGAAGAUCUCUAUGUGUUCUUAAUGGGGCAUGAUAUAUGUUUCCCUAAGUAUGCUAGGGAAAGACUUCACAUUAUGAAUAUCCUCAAGAGUAGAGAAGGCAGAGCCACCUAUUUGGAGAAAGAGUUGCUCUUUCCUAUCUAUUCUACAUUUUCUUUUCUUUCUGUCAGCAUGAUUAAUUUAAACAUUGGUGUAAAGUAAAGGGUUCCUGGAUGCUGAGCAGAAGCAGCCACAAAAAAGAUUCUGGAGUCUUUAUUGCUGAUAGAUUUGGAGAAGAAAAAUCCACAGGCAGGAAACUACCAGAUCUCAGAAAAACAGAAGAUAAUUGGGACAGAAGAACGAGUCUAGUAUAUGUUAAAAACUUACUUAGCUUUGUAGGCAGAAGAGAAGAAAUGAGAAGCCUGAACAUCACAUUUCUGAGUUCUAAGUCUAGCACUUUUUCAGAAAUUCGUUUUCCAUCAUAAAAGGACCACUGGUAAUUAGUGCUGGAAAAGGAGACAAAACCAAUCUUUUUAUAUCUGAUUUAAUUUGAAAAAUAUGGGGUUUAUAUGCUUGCUUCAGUACUAGCUGUCCAUGUAGAUAACAGUACCCUUGUUAGUUAUAAGCAGGAACUGAGAAAUUGACUGAUGCAGCCCAGAAGGUGCCCAGAGAUUUUAAAACAAUUUAAAAAAAUUAAACUGCUGAAAGCACAUUAAACUUGGACAAGAGACCAUAGCAGGUUCUUUGAAUAACUGAAGCUACAUAGGCACUGCUAGUGGUGCUGUAGGAAGUAAGCCCCAGUGACUGAGCCUAGCAAGUGAAACAAGAUCCAUCAACCUAAUAUAUACAUAACUUAAUAAACAUGCACAAAAAUUAAAAUUUAUGGCACACUUGACUGAGCAUCUUGUUUAAACAAAAGUAUUUUGAAUGCUCCAGGGUGUACUUGGGAGAGGAGAAAAGGGUGAAAAAGGCAUUCCUGGAUUCCCUGGAUUGCAGGUAAGGAAGUUGCAGAAUAAAUUACUUCACAAAUUCACUAUAAUUAGGUUCAUAAUAUAUUUGGCAGUUUAAGUUUGCAUUUCCAAGGAAGAUUUUAAUGAUUUUUAAAACUAAUCUGUCAUACUUUCUGUAUAUAAUAUUUAGAAGUCCUGCCCUGGGACUCAUCUCACCUGGGUCUCAGACUUAAACAUAAGCUUAUACAGAGUUUGUGUCCUUGGAAAGAAAGUAAAUCUGUAGGGUUAUCCUCUAAAU